GCCAGGGGGCCAACUCAUGUGGUCUCUAUGAGCGGGUCUGCGAACCAUAUGGACCUGUGCUGUCUGAAAUCGCACACAUCAUGAGAAAAGAUACAUCAAGUUCCAUGUUGAAAAAGUGGAGACUGGAGCAGAUGGUUGCGUAUACUUCCCUGUGAGUGGAUCAUUGCCAUGCCAGCGUUCAUUGUGUUCACUUCAAGCUGCUAGAGGCCCUAAAAGGAAGUUAUUGACUGUAAUUUCCUCUCAGCAACUAGUACCAGUAAGGUUGAUGAAGACUACCAAGUCAGUCACCUAAAUACUGUGCUCAAGAUUGGAACUGGGACACCCAGAAACGCACCUGUCAAUGUCAAAAUGUUAUAUUGUGUAGUGACUUAAUUAUUGUUCCUAUCGCACAUGGACAGGAUGAGAUAAUCAUAAAAAUGAAUACAAACACACAUUCUUAUUCUUCAUACAUGUUUCUCAUGUACCAGUUUUAAGUUUCUUUAAUAUCUGUGAUCCACAUUUCGUUUGUGAAUAUUAUGCACGCAUAUACAGCGCCAGCAUUAAAUUAUGGCAGUUAUUCUAUUUUUGUUUUCUUAAUAUCACGGCACUGGUUGUGAGCGAAAAUGAUCAGUAGGUGCAACAGUUGUCACCCAAGGAUAGUCCAAAAAGUGUAUUUACUAAUACAGUGUCAGGCAUUUUUACACUCUGAAUAUGUAUAAACUACUGCUUCAUUUAAAACCAACAGAAAGUCUACUACAUUAAUGAGUUACUCCCAGUUCAUCCUUCCACCAGACAAGAUGCUGUCAUUUCGUGCUGUUUUAAAAUCAAGU